rnacentral:rRNA from 1 species
UACGUAGGGGGCAAGCGUUGUCCGGAAUUAUUGGGCGUAAAGGGCUCGUAGGCGGCCAACUAAGUCGGACGUGAAAUCCCCAGGCUCAACCUGGGAACUGCGUCCGAUACUGGAUGGCUUGAAUCCGGGAGAGGGAUGCAGAAUUCCAGGUGUAGCGGUGAAAUGCGUAGAGAUCCGGAGGAACACCAGUGGCGAAGGCGGCCCCCUGGGCCGCGCCUGACGCUGAGACGCGAAAGCGCGGGGAGCGAACGGG